CCAAAGGAAAGGGGAGCCGACCUGAUCGCAGGCUCCCUGGAGGACAGGAACCUGAACCCAUGUCUGAGGUUCUCACGGGAGGUGGCUUAUCUGCGGUUUAUCCGUCCCCCUUGGUUCUGACCCGAGACUGCCGGGUAUCUACCUGCUGAUUCUGGGCCAGCGCCUCCUGCUGCAGCACCCCUAGCUGGGCCUCCCGCUCCUCUGCCCACCGCCUCUGCAGCUCCACCUCUGCCCGCAGCUCCUCCAUGGUAGCACCGGCGGCUCGCAGCUCUGUGGAGCACAAACCACCACAACAGCAGUCAAGGGACCGACAAGCCCAAUCUCAGGAGGCUUUAAUAUACGUGAAGAUGAAAUUUACAGGCAUCUUUAAAACUGCCGAAUUGAUACAUGUUGAGAUUAUCUGCAGGAGUGACGAGCUGCGACUUGAUUGGCCCUCACCUUCCUGGAGGGCGUGCAGCUCUGCUUCCCUCUGGACCAGCUGCUCAGUGACCCUGGUCAGUUCGUCCUCCUUGGCCUUCAGAGUUGACUCGGUCUCUCCCACCUGCCAGGACAGCAAUGGGAAUCCAGAUAAGAGACACUGAGGCUCAUCUCUCCAGAUACUGCUGAGCGAAUCCAAGCGAGUACCAGGCUCUUAUUUAGAGAGACUGAAUUUACAUUUAAAAUUUAACAGACACUUUUAACCAAAGUGAUACACAGCUGAAAAUGUAAGGUCAGAGAAUACCUACAGCAAUUAGGGAAUAAGGGCCUUACUGUGCUGACCACAGGCUUUGAAACAACAACCGUCUGUUCACUGACACAGAUUCACAAUUCUAUUCUGCUAUUAAGCUACAGGUUGCUGAACUCGCACAACAGUUAUACCAUAACCUGACUUAAAUAACAAAACAAUAGGUUACAGAUAUUAUCCAGCUACAAGAGCAAUAUUGAGGAACAUAAGAGAACUGGGUCCCUGUGCUGGGAUGUGAACAGACAACCUUCCCGGGUGUCUGCUGCUGCACUCGCCCAGCCCUACCUGUUGCUGCAGCUCUUCUUUCUGGGUUCUCAUCACCUCCAGAGCUUUGACGAUCUCCACGCUGACCGCCUGCUGGCUCACCAGCUCUGCCUGGGGGGUGGCGUGGGGGUAUGAACCACUUCAUCAACCAUUUCAUAAAAACGAUAGCUCCCCACCUCGGACGUGAACCUUCAACCCACUGGCCAUAAUCCCAGACUCUCAGGAACCCAGGCUUGCUUACUCACCCUGGCCAGCUCUAGGUCGUUAGCCUGCCUGCUGAGCUCCGCCUCCACCUCGGCCCGCCCCCGCAGCAGUACCUCCUGCUCCAGCUCCAUCUCAGUCUGGGGGGGGGGACGGGGGUGAAGAUUUCAGGAAGGGUAAGACGGAGGACAGCACAGGGUCUGUGCAACACUCUCCAUGACAUUCUCUGCAUUGUGGCUGCAUAUUAUCGUCUAUAUUAUUUGCUACUGCCUUUUAACGCCGAAAUUCUUUUUUACUCUAAAUGUGUGGGUUGUGAUACUAUAAACCUGUAAUUUCCUUUAGGAUUAAUGAAGUAUCAAUCAGUCUAGCUGGACGACAGUCUGUCAAGUGACAAACUCAGAUGGAGCAUUAACAAUAAAAAACAAGCACACUU